UUGCAUACUUAAGAAUUGCAAAAUUUUUAGGGAUGCUCUUAUCCCUAACCACGGAAUGAAUAAAAUAUGAGAAGCAUAGCCUUCACUGUUUCCACUUCCAGCAGAAAAUGUACAGUCGCUGGUUGUGCCCAUAUAUUGGUGACAUACCAUCUGGGAUAAACUUCGUAACUUCCAGUUCCUAAAUAAAAUUCUCUUGCCUCCUUGAAUCAAAUAAUGUGCAGCUGUUUGCCUGCUGCUGUUGUUGUUCUAGUGAAUAUAACUUUAUUUUCAGGAACUUGCCGGAGGUACAAAGUGCUUAUGAGGUUCUAGGAGUACCAACUGUUAGUGCUCGAUUUGGAACUGCACCUUUCUUCUGGAAUUGGGGAAUGGAAGCCAUGACAAAUCUUCUUCCUCCAGAAUAUCUAAGGGACAGAAGCAAAGUCCAACAAUUGGUUCAAUUGUUUGAUCCUGUAGUCCGAGCAGUUGAUAGGAUUGCUGGUGAACGAGUAUCAAUGAGGGUUGAUUUGGAGUGCACUGAUGGCCGCAAUACACUUGGCAUAUUUAGUCAUAGGAGACUGUCUGUAUCUGUGGGGAAUGCAACUGCUGCUUUUGUUCUUGCAGUUCUUGAAGGAAGCACGCAGCCAGGGGUCUGGUUUCCAGAAGAGCCUGAAGGUAUUGCAAUUGAGGCAAGGGAAGUUCUUCUCCAACGUGCUGCAGAAGGAACAAUCAACUUUGUAAUGAAUAAGCCACCAUGGAUGGUGGAAACCGAACCAAAAGAACUCGGCUUAGGAAUAUAUGUGUGAGAAUUCUCGAAAAGCUUUCCAAGUUCAAGUUUUUUCUACACAGUCGCUGCAGUACACCUCUAAUAUUCUAAGGAAACCAACAGCAUCAAUAUCACACCGAUUUUGUUCCGGCAUGGGAGAAACGAUUCGGCUUGGAUAUGGGAGGAAUGAAGUGGAAAAAUUUCUUUUACCCAAAGCAAGACGCAUCAAAAUUUACAAAAAUCAUGGAAUGGUACGAUUCCGCAGGUAAGGAGUCCUUUCAACAGGCCAAGAAACGGUUCUGGGCAAAGAACCGCCUUCCAUGCAAAUUAUUUCCUCUACCAAGUCCUGAUAUGUACAUUGAUCAAAUCAACUGGAAUGCUAAACUCGACCCUCAGCUUUUCUUGGACUUGGAGGAAGCUCGCAGGCAAGUGCAGGACCAUAAAGAAGGGAAUGAUUGCAUUUCGCUGGCAGAUAUAAAGCCAACAGGAUGGGAUGUAGAUUGUGAAGAAUGGCACAAACCCCUGGUAUUGACUGGUAUGAUUGUGGGAUACUAAGGAAGUUGCGAAGGUGGCAAGAAAGGUGAAGGCGUUCCCACAAAUUACAAGAGAAGGGACAAUCAUUAUCACUGGGGCAUCGAUCUUCAGGAUUUGAGAAGCCAAAGUAGCUAGGAUUUUAAGUUAGACAAGAACUGAAAGGGUUAGGGGAGAUUAUUAAAAUUUUAGAGUUGCUAAUCAGCGUCAUAUUAAAAUUUAAAUUAAAAUUCUGUAAUAAAUAUUUUUUUAGAUAGUACUUCCUUUAACAGCAA